AGUGCCACAGGCAGGGGCAGGGGCUGGAAGUGGUGCUGAGGUGUGAAGGAGGGGGUCUCCAGGCUCUGCCCUGCUCCAGGGACAGGGGGCAGGAGCGCAGAUUUCCCCACUGUGAGUGGCCCAACCCCACAACCCGUUCCCAGUGCCCAUGGGCAGAGGGGAUGUUUGGGAUUUCCCACUCCCUUUCCUAUGCCCUCCAGCACAGCCACAGCCACACAUGGGGGCUGCUCCCCACAAACAGCUCCCAGGGGGGUUGGAGUGACCUGGUGUCUGUGCAGGUUCAGCAGCUUCGUGUCCGAAAUGUUCUCCCCUCGCGUGAGACGUGUUGUCUGCUCAGUGGAUGCUCCCAGUGUAAUAAAUGUUUGCAGCUAA